rnacentral:rRNA from 1 species
AACGAACGCUGGCGGCAGGCUUAACACAUGCAAGUCGAACGGGUGUAGCAAUACAUCAGUGGCAGACGGGUGAGUAACACGUGGGAACCUUCCUAGGGGUACGGAACAACUCAGGGAAACUUGAGCUAAUACCGUAUACGUCCGUGAGGAGAAAGAUUUAUCGCCCUUAGACGGGCCCGCGUCGGAUUAGCUAGUUGGUGGGGUAACGGCCUACCAAGGCGACGAUCCGUAGCUGAUCUUAGAGGAUGAUCAGCCACACUGGGACUGAGACACGGCCCAGACUCCUACGGGAGGCAGCAGUGGGGAAUCUUGGACAAUGGGCGCAAGCCUGAUCCAGCCAUGCCGCGUGAGUGAAGAAGGUCUUCGGACUGUAAAGCUCUUUUGCCAGGGACGAUAAUGACGGUACCUGGAGAAUAAGCCCCGGCAAACUUCGUGCCAGCAGCCGCCGUAA